rnacentral:tRNA from 1 species
UUUAAUUAAACUACUUCUUGA